CACGGUGGAAAAAAUUGCCACUGGUUUAUCCUGUAGCCAAUUGGUAAGAUCACUGUGCCUAUAUAAAUAUUGGAGUAUCAAAGCUCAUUACCCAUAACCUUGUGUGUGCGUAAUUAAACCCAUACUCUAACAAUA